rnacentral:snoRNA from 1 species
AGCCCUUGUGUGUGCUUUUUUUAACUUGUGGGCAAAGAUAGGUGCAAAAAAUAAAUGCUCUUUUGCAAACUCAGAACUUCUUGUACAGUGUAAGUUUUGAUACGUAUAAGAAGGACUAUG